AGCAAGGCCUUACUAAAGGCCACACAGGUAGUAAAUGGAAACCUGU
rfam:Monodelphis domestica chromosome 1, whole genome shotgun sequence.